rnacentral:rRNA from 1 species
GUGGUAAUACCGGAUGCUCCGCUCCAUCGCAUGGUGGGGUGGGAAAUGCUUUUGCGGCAUGGGAUGGGGUCGCGUCCUAUCAGCUUGUUGGCGGGGUGAUGGCCCACCAAGGCGUUGACGGGUAGCCGGCCUGAGAGGGUGACCGGCCACAUUGGGACUGAGAUACGGCCCAGACUCCUACGGGAGGCAGCAGUGGGGAAUAUUGCACAAUGGGCGCAAGCCUGAUGCAGCGACGCCGCGUGCGGGAUGGAGGCCUUCGGGUUGUAAACCGCUUUUGUUCAAGGGCAAGGCACGGUUUCGGCCGUGUUGAGUGGAUUGUUCGAAUAAGCACCGGCUAACUACGUGCCAGCAGCCGCGGUAAUACGUAGGGUGCGAGCGUUAUCCGGAUUUAUUGGGCGUAAAGGGCUCGUAGGCGGUUCGUCGCGUCCGGUGUGAAAGUCCAUCGCCUAACGGUGGAUCUGCGCCGGGUACGGGCGGGCUGGAGUGCGGUAGGGGAGACUGGAAUUCCCGGUGUAACGGUGGAAUGUGUAGAUAUCGGGAAGAACACCA